rnacentral:rRNA from 1 species
UCAAAACCGUUACGACUUGUGAUUGCUUAGUGGCCUGGUGCACUUUCGUGUCGGCUGGUUAACAUCAAUUUCGAUCGUCAUAAAAAGGCUGGAGGGAUGUGGCUCCUUCGGGAGUGUUAUAACCUUUGGCGGAAUGUGGUGGUCGGGAUUGAGGUUUGCAACGAAUACCUUCAGGGCUGUUCCACCUGGCCUCUCAUCGGCAUCCUGGCGACGACAGCUUGCUGACGUUGUUAGGACCAGCUUUCGAACAGGCUAGAGUGUGAGCAAA